UACGAAGGGGGCUAGCGUUGCUCGGAAUCACUGGGCGUAAAGGGUGCGUAGGCGGGUCUUUAAGUCAGGGGUGAAAUCCUGGAGCUCAACUCCAGAACUGCCUUUGAUACUGAAGAUCUUUGAGUCCGGGAGAGGUGAGUGGAACUGCGAGUGUAGAGGUGAAAUUCGUAGAUAUUCGCAAGAACACCAGUGGCGAAGGCGGCUCACUGGCCCGGUACUGACGCUGAGGCACGAAAGCGUGGGGAGCAAACAGGG
rnacentral:rRNA from 1 species